ACUCUUCUAGUAUACUUAUUAUAAUGGACUUCCAAUCCAUAGAAUCUGGCAGAAACCCAGAGAAGAGUA
rnacentral:tRNA from 1 species